UGCCAGACUCCUACGGGAGGCAGCAGUGGGGAAUAUUGCACAAUGGGGGAAACCCUGAUGCAGCGACGCCGCGUGAGUGAAGAAGUAUUUCGGUAUGUAAAGCUCUAUCAGCAGGGAAGAAAAUGACGGUACCUGAUUAAGAAGCCCCGGCUAACUACGUGCCAGCAGCCGCGGUAAUACGUAGGGGGCAAGCGUUAUCCGGAUUUACUGGGUGUAAAGGGAGCGUAGACGGCAGCACAAGUCUGGAGUGAAAUGCCGGGGCUUAACCCCGGAACUGCGUUGGAAACUGUGCAGCUAGAGUGCAGGAGAGGUAAGUGGAAUUCCUAGUGUAGCGGUGAAAUGCGUAGAUAUUAGGAGGAACACCAGUGGCGAAGGCGGCUUACUGGACUGUAACUGACGUUGAGGCUCGAAAGCGUGGGGAGCAAACAG
rnacentral:rRNA from 1 species